GAUGAAGAACGUAGCGAAAUGCGAUACUUAGUGUGAAUUGCAGAAUCCCGUGAACCAUCGAGUUUUUGAACGCAAGUUGCGCCCGAAGCCGUUAGGCUGAGGGCACGCCUGCCUGGGUGUCACACAUCGUUGCCCCAAUGCCAAUCGCCUCACUUUGUAGGUAUUUGCUUGGGGGGAAUGUUGGCCUCCCGUGAGCUUUGUCUCACGGUUGGUUGAAAAUCGAGUGCAUGGUGUCGGGUGUACCAUGAUGGAUGGUGGUUGAGUGAUGAUGCUCGAGACCAAUCAUGGGUAACUCCACCAGAAUUGGGCUCGGUGACCCACAUGCGUCCCUUGGAUGCUCCCUAAGGAGACCUCAGGUCAGGCGGGGCUACCCGCUGAGUUUAAGCAUAUCAAUAAGCGGAGGA
rnacentral:misc_RNA from 1 species